UCCUUCCCUCCAAGAACUUCCCACCUUGCUCUUGGGGAGACUCGAACUAAGGGUUUNNNNNNNNNNNNNNNNNNNNNNNNNCUCCAAGAACUUCCCACCUUGCUCUUGGGGAGACUCGAACUCACAACCUCUCAGUUGGAAGUGGGGGUUGCUUACCAUCAGUGCAACCCCUCUUGUCUAAGUAAGUGCCAUAAAACAACUAAUUAAAACUAGAGAGGAAGCAACCCAACAUGGAGAAGAAUAAGGUCAACUGACAAUUCUACAAAAACUUAACAGUAGUGCCAUGAGUUAGGACAAUGAUAAAUCAAAUAGUUAAUAAUACCAACAAUCCCCAACAAAGAAUACAUUUGGGUAGAAUCAAUCACAAGAGCAGCACAACAUCCAGAGGAAUAUAACUUGUUGCAGCUGGCACGCGGACAGAACGAGCAGAUCAGCAGGUUAACGUAAGUGUUUUAACAAUAAAGUCCAGUGACGUAGCUUACGCCACGCACUUUGCAGGCAGACUUAAACCAGAUCAAGGAGGCACACAAAUCUUUAUCAACAAGAUGGACUAGGAGAGUUUCAGAUUCAAACCAUUAAGGAACGAUCACACUUAGCAAGAAACUGCCACUAAUCAAAAACUGAUUUUAGCCAAAUUAAUAGCAUAUACAACAACUACCCAGUAUAGUCUCACAAAGUGGGGUCUGGGGAAGGUAAUAUGUAGACGGGCCUUACCCCUACCCGAAAGCGCAGAGAGGCUGUUUCCAAUCGACCCUC
rnacentral:lncRNA from 1 species